AAACCAACUGGGAUUACCUUAGUAACGGCGAGUGAAGCGGUAAAAGCUCAAAUUUGAAAUCUGGUACUUUCAGUGCCCGAGUUGUAAUUUGUAGAAUUUGUCUUUGAUUAGGUCCUUGUCUAUGUUCCUUGGAACAGGACGUCAUAGAGGGUGAGAAUCCCGUUUGGCGAGGAUACCUUUUCUCUGUAAGACUUUUUCGAAGAGUCGAGUUGUUUGGGAAUGCAGCUCAAAGUGGGUGGUAAAUUCCAUCUAAAGCUAAAUAUUGGCGAGAGACCGAUAGCGAACAAGUACAGUGAUGGAAAGAUGAAAAGAACUUUGAAAAGAGAGUGAAAAAGUACGUGAAAUUGUUGAAAGGGAAGGGCAUUUGAUCAGACAUGGUGUUUUUGCAUGCACUCGCCUCUCGUGGGCUUGGGCCUCUCAAAAAUUUCACUGGGCCAACAUCAAUUCUGGCAGCAGGAUAAAUCAUUAAGAAUGUAGCUACUUCGGUAGUGUUUUAGCUUUUUGGAAUACUGUUAGCCGGGAUUGA
rnacentral:rRNA from 1 species